AUUUGGAAGAUUCCCUACUCCUACGGGAGGCAGCAGUAGGGAAUCUUCCACAAUGGACGAAAGUCUGAUGGAGCAACGCCGCGUGAGCGAUGAAGGCCUUCGGGUCGUAAAGCUCUGUUGUUAGGGAAGAACAAGUACCGGAGUAACUGCCGGUACCUUGACGGUACCUAACCAGAAAGCCACGGCUAACUACGUGCCAGCAGCCGCGGUAAUUGAACU
rnacentral:rRNA from 1 species